UACGUAGGGUGCGAGCGUUAAUCGGAAUUACUGGGCGUAAAGCGUGCGCAGGCGGUGCUGUAAGACAGGCGUGAAAUCCCCGGGCUCAACCUGGGAAUUGCGCUUGUGACUGCAGUGCUGGAGUACGGCAGAGGGGGAUGGAAUUCCGCGUGUAGCAGUGAAAUGCGUAGAUAUGCGGAGGAACACCGAUGGCGAAGGCAGUCCCCUGGGCCUGUACUGACGCUCAUGCACGAAAGCGUGGGGAGCAAACAGG
rnacentral:rRNA from 1 species